UUAGUGGCGGACGGGUGAGUAACGCGUGGAAAACCUGCCGUAUACUGGGGGAUAACACUUAGAAAUAGGUGCUAAUACCGCAUAAGCGCACAGCUUCGCAUGAAGCGGUGUGAAAAACUCUGGUGGUAUACGAUGGUUCCGCGUCUGAGUAGCUAGUUGGUGGGGUAAUGGCCUACCAAGGCAACGAUCAGUAGCCGGCCUGAGAGGGUGAACGGCCACAUUGGGACUGAGACACGGCCCAAACUCCUACGGAAGGCAGCAG
rnacentral:rRNA from 1 species